AUGGACGUCCUCCUCGAUAUCUCGGCGCGUUCCGAUCCUGUAACCCUCGUCCGCUGCGCCGCCGCGUCCAAGGACCUCCGCCGGGAGAUCGCUGAUCCGGCCUUUCACCCGCGCCUCCGACUCCGCCGCGCCGACCGGUUCAUGCCCAGGUUCUUCCGCGGCUGGUUCGUCCAGAACCAGCCCAAAAAGGUCAUCGAGCCCCCCCGUUUUUCCGACCCCGUCCGCCCUGCGGAACCGUCCCCCGAGCCGUUCCGUUCCUUCUUGUUGGAUAACGACAGCAUCUUCGAGUUCUACCACCCCGAACUGACGGCGAGCCGUGGCCUCGUCGCCCUCCGCUCCAACACCCCCGAGUCCGGAGGCCCCCCCGGCACGUGCGUGUUCAACCCCAUGACGGGCUACGUCAACUGCAUUCCGCCGCCGAAGAUCAACGCUCAAUCUUUCGUCUUGCUCACCAGCGACGACGGCGACGGCGCCUGCCAUUACCGCCAGGUCGCCGCGGAGCUGGCUUCGGGCCGCCUUAAGACCCAGGAAUUCUCGCCGGUCGACGACAACAGUCGGUGGCAGCCCAUCGCCGAGACCGCGGUGGCCCCGUGCCCUCAGGACGCCGCGCUCUUGCACCCUGCUCUCGUCCUCCAAGGCGACGCCCAAUGGCUGUGCAGGUCAUCAGAGUACCACUUCUUGCUGAGGUUCUCCCGCGCGCAGCUUCAGGCGUCCGUGACAAAAAUCGGCGGAAUCUGCGGCGAGCAGCUCCACGGGCGCGGACGGGAGGAGCUCCUCCUGGUGUCGGACGGCCAAGGGAAGCAGCCGCAACUGCUCGUGGCCGUCGGGCUACAAAUAUCACUCUGGACGUUGUCUGACACGGACGAUGGCAACGGCUGGUCCAUGCAGGUGCUGGUCGAGCCGGAGAGCAUCCACCAGGACGAUGUGUUGAGCGAGAGGCUCGAGCUGCGGUGGUUCGGUGAGAAGAGCGGUUUCGUAUUCGUGCGGAUGGCGGGCGCGAAUGAGAGCUCCCUGUCGUGGUACUUCAUGCUGGAAUUGGCGACGAGGAGGGUUCGCGGGGUUUGCAAGGGCGCGCCCCAGAACGCGCUCGUCUACUUACCCUAUGAGAUGGAUCUCUCUUUUUGGCGCCCAAAAUUCACUCGUCAAUUGCAGUAG
rnacentral:rRNA from 1 species